GACGAGCGCUGGCGGCGUGCUUAACACAUGCAAGUCGAACGGAAAGGCCCUGCUUUUGUGGGGUGCUCGAGUGGUGAACGGGUGAGUAACACGUGAGUAACCUGCCCUUGACUUUGGGAUAACUUCAGGAAACUGGGGCUAAUACCGGAUAGGAGCUCCUGCUGCAUGGUGGGGGUUGGAAAGUUUCGGCGGUUGGGGAUGGACUCGCGGCUUAUCAGCUUGUUGGUGGGGUAGUGGCUUACCAAGGCUUUGACGGGUAGCCGGCCUGAGAGGGUGACCGGCCACAUUGGGACUGAGAUACGGCCCAGACUCCUACGGGAGGCAGCAGUGGGGAAUAUUGCACAAUGGGCGGAAGCCUGAUGCAGCAACGCCGCGUGCGGGAUGACGGCCUUCGGGUUGUAAACCGCUUUCGCCUGUGACGAAGCGUGAGUGACGGUAAUGGGUAAAGAAGCACCGGCUAACUACGUG
rnacentral:rRNA from 1 species